rnacentral:rRNA from 1 species
UACGGGGGGGGCAAGCGUUGUUCGGAAUUACUGGGCGUAAAGGGCUCGUAGGCGGCCAACUAAGUCAGACGUGAAAUCCCCCGGCUUAACCUGGGAACUGCGUCUGAUACUGGACGGCUUGAGUAUGGGAGAGGGAUGUAGAAUUCCAGGUGUAGCGGUGAAAUGCGUAGAUAUCUGGAGGAAUACCGGUGGCGAAGGCGGCAUCCUGGACCAUUACUGACGCUGAGGCGCGAAAGCUAGGGGAGCAAACGGG